rnacentral:rRNA from 1 species
GACGUAGGAGGCGAGCGUUGUCCGGAUUUAUUGGGCGUAAAGAGCUCGUAGGCGGCUUGUCGCGUCGAAUGUGAAAUCUCGGGGCUCAACUCCGAGCUUGCAUUCGAUACGGGCAGGCUAGAGUUCGGUAGGGGAGACUGGAAUUCUCGGUGUAGCAGUGAAAUGCGUAGAUAUCGAGAGGAACACCAGUGGCGAAGGCGAGUCCCUGGACACUUCCUGACACUGAGGCACGAAAGCUAGGGGAGCAAACAGG